rnacentral:lncRNA from 1 species
GAGGUCUAUAAGUGUAUCUCUAUUGAAGGUUGUAAUUGAUACCGCUUGUAUUAUUAAGAUUAUUAUUCGUAAAUUUUUGUGAUACAUGACUGAGUCCUGCGCGAGAGUUGGGCAGGUAGUUCGCCAAACCCUUAGGUACCCCCUAGGGAGAGGUGGGGCUGUCACAGUUUGUGAUGAAAUUAAGCGUAUCAAACCAAGAGAAUUUUAGUGAGCCAUUUGGACUUUGGGGUCAUUAAACUUUUUUGUUAGUUAAAUUAUUUGGGACUCUCUUGUGCCUUAGUUUUAGGUGUUUUUGGACCAAGGAAUACUUUUCUAAGGGUUUUAUACUCUCUUCUUCUUAGUGAAAUUUUGUUCAUGUUUGCUCGUGGAUGUAGGUUAAAUUGACUGAAUCACGUAAAUUCUUAUAUUCUUGUUUCAUUUAUUGUGCUUUCUUACUUUUCUUUUGGGAUCGUCAAGAAUCUUUCUCGUUAAUUUCUUGGAAUCAAACCUAACAAUGUUGCUUGACAAAAAAAUAAUGACAUUUUAUCGUUAUUGGGUUAGUAAAAAAGUUCAAAUUUAUAUACUUAACAUCCACCAAAACUUGAGCUUAAAUAUGCAAUUAUUUUUAAAUGAGUUAAAUGGGUAAUGCAAGUCAACUUGUUAUCCACAAAUUAAAUGUGUUUAAUUUAAUCACCUAAUUAAACCCAUUUAAAAUUCAUUGCAUUCCCAAAUCUACUUAUUAAUGGCAAGUUUGGGUUGGUCAAUUUAAUUGGAUUAUGAUUCAAACUUGUAGUAAAUAUUAAACUUGUUGAAAUUAAAAGGUUUAUUUUGUUUCUCUCUUUUUUAGUUUUAAUUAUUCUAAUGAGCAGAGGUUUGGGAUAAAACUGGAUUAAUUUUAGUAAUAGAUUUACACAAUUACAUUCUAAACUUUUCUAUGACUCUUGAUUCAAUUAAUAAGAAUAUAGUAGUCUCGUAUUUUGCAGUUAAAUUUUUUUUCACUGAUUAUAAGUAUAUUCAAAAUAUCCUUCUGUUAAUGGAUUUGAUAACAAAUGCCCCCGUUGUCCUAUGGGUAAUCAUUAAAGUAACAUCAAAUGUAAAUUUUGAAUGCAACUAAUUUAGAAAAAUAUUU